rnacentral:rRNA from 1 species
UCAGCAUGUGUGUUAGUGGAAGCGUCUGGAAAGGCGCGCGAUACAGGGUGACAGCCCCGUACACAAAAGCGCAUGUGCUGUGAGCUCGAUGAGUAGGGCGGGACACGUGGUAUCCUGUCUGAAUAUGGGGGGACCAUCCUCCAAGGCUAAAUACUCCUGACUGACCGAUAGUGAACCAGUACCGUGAGGGAAAGGCGAAAAGAACCCCGGCGAGGGGAGUGAAAAAGAACCUGAAACCGUGUACGUACAAGCAGUGGGAGCACAGGUUUACCUGUGUGACUGCGUACCUUUUGUAUAAUGGGUCAGCGACUUAUAUUCUGUAGCAAGGUUAACCGAAUAGGGGAGCCGGAGGGAAACCGAGUCUUAAUUGGGCGUUAAGUUGCAGGGUAUAGACCCGAAACCCGGUGAUCUAGCCAUGGGCAGGUUGAAGGUUGGGUAACACUAACUGGAGGACCGAACCGACUAAUGUUGAAAAAUUAGCGGAUGACCUGUGGCUGGGGGUGAAAGGCCAAUCAAACCGGGAGAUAGCUGGUUCUCCCCGAAAGCUAUUUAGGUAGCGCCUCGUGAAUUCAUCUCCGGGGGUAGAGCACUGUUUCGGCUAGGGGGCCAUCCCGGCUUACCAACCCGAUGCAAACUGCGAAUACCGGAGAAUGUUAUCACGGGAGACACACGGCGGGUGCUAACGUCCGUCGUGAAGAGGGAAACAACCCAGACCGCCAGCUAAGGUCCCAAAGUCAUGGUUAAGUGGGAAACGAUGUGGGAAGGCCCAGACAGCCAGGAUGUUGGCUUAGAAGCAGCCAUCAUUUAAAGAAAGCGUAAUAGCUCACUGGUCGAGUCGGCCUGCGCGGAAGAUGUAACGGGGCUAAACCAUGCACCGAAGCUGCGGCAGCGAACGUAUCACCCAAGACAACUUUACGGAGUUGACGAUUGACGGAGCGAAGCGACGUCAAAGCGUUCAUUAAAGUCGAGUUGGCUUAGGGAUACGUUCGUUGGGUAGGGGAGCGUUCUGUAAGCCUGUGAAGGUGUGUCGUGAGGCAUGCUGGAGGUAUCAGAAGUGCGAAUGCUGACAUAAGUAACGAUAAAGCGGGUGAAAAGCCCGCUCGCCGGAAGACCAAGGGUUCCUGUCCAACGUUAAUCGGGGCAGGGUGAGUCGACCCCUAAGGCGAGGCCGAAAGGCGUAGUCGAUGGGAAACGGGUUAAUAUUCCCGUACUUGGUGUUACUGCGAAGGGGGGACGGAGAAGGCUAUGUUGGCCGGGCGACGGUUGUCCCGGUUUAAGCGUGUAGGUGUGUGUUCCAGGUAAAUCCGGUUCACUUUAACACUGAGGCGUGACGACGAGGCACUACGGUGCUGAAGCAACAAAUGCCCUGCUUCCAGGAAAAGCCUCUAAGCAUCAGGUAACACGAAAUCGUACCCCAAACCGACACAGGUGGUCAGGUAGAGAAUACCAAGGCGCUUGAGAGAACUCGGGUGAAGGAACUAGGCAAAAUGGUGCCGUAACUUCGGGAGAAGGCACGCUGACACGUAGGUGAAGUGAUUUACUCAUGGAGCUGAAGUCAGUCGAAGAUACCAGCUGGCUGCAACUGUUUAUUAAAAACACAGCACUGUGCAAACACGAAAGUGGACGUAUACGGUGUGACGCCUGCCCGGUGCCGGAA